UACGAAGGGGGCUAGCGUUGCUCGGAAUUACUGGGCGUAAAGGGCGCGUAGGCGGAUCGUUAAGUCAGAGGUGAAAUCCCGGAGCUCAAGUUCGGAAUUGCCUUUGAUACUGGCGAUCUUGAGUAUGAGAGAGGUAUGUGGAACUCCGAGUGUAGAGGUGAAAUUCGUAGAUAUUCGGAAGAACACCAGUGGCGAAGGCGACAUACUGGCUCAUUACUGACGCUGAGGCGCGAAAGCGCGGGGAGCAAAC
rnacentral:rRNA from 1 species